UUAAUUUUCUGUUUAGUUUUAAUUGUUUUCAUAAACAAAAUAAGAGUUGAAAUUUUUCUAUUGGCUAUUAGUUUAGUGGUAGAUGAACUGGUUCACUAUAGAAGGUGAACAUAAGACAAAUUCAAAAUAAAACAAAACUUUUUCGCAUUCACUAUUAAAAUGAUAAUCAAUAAAAAUUUGUUAAACCGUAUUUUUCUAUAUAAAAAUAUAAAAUAAAGAAACAUUAAAUAUUAUUAAUUAACAAAAAAAGAAAAAAAGAAUUCGGAGUUGUUACCUCCAUCAGCUAAAUCUUAAGCAUCAAUUUCUAAAUUCUAAGGUUCAUCUUCAAGGAUUUAUGGUUUUCGAUAUUUGUUGACGGCGUUUAGAAUUUAGUGUUUAUGAUUUUGUUGACGGUUUUAACAACAUCAUAUUUUUUUCCGCAAUUAUUUUUGUAGUUAUUUUUUUAAUUUCUCAUAAAUAAAUAUGAUUUGUCAAAAUUUUAUUGGUAUCAUUUUAGCAGUGAUUGCACAUAAAGAAAACUUAGAAAACAUACAAAAUAUAUCUCCAAAAUCUUGACAAUUUGUUAAUAGAUAUUAAUAAAAAAUCUGACAUAUAGCCUGAC
rnacentral:lncRNA from 1 species